rnacentral:rRNA from 1 species
UGCUCAACAUCUGCACUGCAGUUGAAACUGGUGUUCUUGAGUGCGUAAGAGGUAGGCGGAAUUCGUCGUGUAGCGGUGAAAUGCAUAGAUAUGACGAAGAACUCCGAUUGCGAAGGCAGCUUACUGGGCCGCAACUGACGCUGAAGCUCGAAGGUGCGGGUAUCAAACAGGAUUAGAUACCCUGGUAGUCCGCACAGUAAACGAUGGAUACUCGCUGUCGGCGAUAUACAGUCGGUAGCCAAGCGAAAGCAUUAAGUAUCCCACCUGGGGAGUACGCCGGCAACGGUGAAACUCAAAGGAAUUGACGGGGGCCCGCACAAGCGGAGGAACAUGUGGUUUAAUUCGAUGAUACGCGAGGAACCUUACCCGGGCUUGAAUUGCUGAGCGCGGCAUUUGGAGACAGAUGCUUCCCUUCGGGGGUUCAGUGAAGGUGCUGCAUGGUUGUCGUCAGCUCGUGCCGUAAGGUGUCGGCUUAAGUGCCAUAACGAGCGCAACCCUUGCCGUUAGUUGCCAUCAGGUUAAGCUGGGCACUCUAGUGGGACUGCCAUCGUAAGAUGCGAGGAAGGUGGGGAUGACGUCAAAUCAGCACGGCCCUUAUGUCCGGGGCGACACACGUGUUACAAUGGUAGGUACAGCGGGAAGCUACCUGGCGACAGGAUGCAGAUCCCGAAAUCCUAUCUCAGUUCGGAUUGGAGUCUGGAACUCGA